rnacentral:tRNA from 1 species
UUAAUUGGAUUGAGCCUUGGUAUGGAAAAUCCGUCGACUUUAGAAAUCGUGAGC